rnacentral:lncRNA from 1 species
UAUGGUUCUGCAGGUCAAUGAAGAUGUUGUUGCUUCACCUGCUGAGCUUGCAAAAGCUUACUGGAUAGUAGGACGCCAAAAGAAUCUGUAUCAAGGCCUGGACUACAAAAUCAAGUGCCUAGGGGAGAUUUAACUUGUUCAAGCAAUAAAAGUUUCCCUUCUAUGUCUUCCACAAUGUCACUUUGUGCCAAGAUCUUCCGGUCUUGUUGGUAAUCUUGGAAACAGUUUUGUGACCCCCAAGAUUAAGGGGC